rnacentral:rRNA from 1 species
UAAGUCAGCCACGAAUAGGCUAUCCCAACUAACGGCGGGAAAGACUCCACGGAGGGUGUAAGACCCGUGUGGGCGCGUGUCAAAGCUGUGCGGGCUCGGCCUCUAUUCCCUGAGAGUCGCGUUGCUUGAGCAUGCAGCGCUAAGCAGGUCGUAAACUCGAUCUAAGGCUAAAUAUGUCCACAGAACCGAUAGCGAACAAGUACCGUGAGGGAAAGUUGAAAAGCACUCUGGAGAGAGAGUCAAAAGACCGUGAAACCGCUCAGAGUAUAAGCCCAUGGCAGCUUGGAAGGCAUAUCGAGAGCGGGGCAUCGGUCUCCCUUCGCGGGGAGCCGGUGUUACCUUGCCUCUGUUGUGGCUCGUCAUGGUAGGGGGGUCAGGUCCACAUCCCGCCGACGUGUGGGGGGUUCUUGGGUGUGUUGUGGUUUCUUUGUUGGCUUCGGCUGGCAGAGGGGCUCUUCGUGCUCGGUUCCUCUUUAGACACGGACGUUCAGACUCAGAGGCAAGACGCGAUAAACAGCCCACCACGGCACGUUGUGAGGUCACCCACAGGCUCAACUUUCGAUCGUGGGCCUUGACGCCGAGCAAGCACAAUGCGUGUCGCUGAGGUUCCUAACCAGGCAUGAGGGCCAGGAUCGUGGAACGACACGUGCUCAACAGUCAGGUCCGGGCGGAGACAGAGUUCUGGUAUGAUCCUCUUGCGACGAGCCGCCUUCUGGCCGAUAUCCGAUGCUCAGGUCUCCCGCAUGUGCCGCGGGAGAUCGACACCUGACGGUCUGGA